UACAGAGGUGCCAAGCGUUAGGCGGAAUCACUGGGCUUAAAGCGCGUGUAGGUGGGUCGUUAAGUGUCCGCGUGAAAUCCCACGGCUCACCCGUGGAACUGCUUGGUAUACUGGUUGUCUUGAGCCUUCUAGGGGCGAGUGGAACAAAUGGUGGAGCGGUGAAGUGACGUAGAUAUCAUUUGGAACGCCAAUGGUGAAAACAACUCGCUGGGGAAGUGCUGACGCUGAGACACGAAAGCCAGGGGAGCGAACGGG
rnacentral:rRNA from 1 species